UUCCUUUCGCCGGGGCGGCAAAGUCCCUAUAUUAGGGGGGUCGGGAAACCGACUACGGUGCUAAACGGGCACGCGAAAUAAGCGUUGCGGACCCGGGGGCAGUACCCGGCGCCUCCACCAAAUCCCAGUUAAGGCCCAGCCAAGACGGGCCUCGUUAUGGGGGCGAAACAGGAUCGACGCGCGUGGUAAAGGCAUGUUCGGCGCCCGGCAUGGUACCGCCGUUAUCGGGCCAUUCGAUAGUUGCGAACGACAACUACCGUGAGGCGCGCCUCGCUGCCUAAGGGCGGCUGGCAAGCCUAAGCUAAGCCCUCGGCCUUCACACGUCGAGGCGGGGUUCGGGGCAACACCUGGCAACAGAAGUUGCCCCACU
rnacentral:tmRNA from 1 species